ensembl:lncRNA
CAGACAGUUUGCCCUGCUGUCCUUUUCUUUUUUGGUGCUGAUAUAUUUCACUUCCCCAGGUUUCCUGAGCAGACCAACGUGAGUGAGGGAAGAGUAACCACACAUGAGGAGGAGAGGGAUACGCGAUGGGACCUGUCCAAAACUAGAAACAUUGACACCAGAGUGGACUCAAACAGGGAAAUUGAGAUUCCCAAACUGUUCCUGGAUGAGAAGGUGGAGGACGUGAAGGGAGACCAAGAGAAUGAGACUAAGGAGGGUAAGGGCUCUCCCAAAGAUCCCCUGUCAGCUCCAGUCACCCUCACUCUCAUCACAGAGGGGAGGCAGAGCCAGGGGCGAGGCAGCUACAACCCCAGCAGACGGGAGAUCAACAGGACCUCACCAGCACAGUGGCCAGACAGUACUGAUCAGAACACAGGCACAGCAAGCCGCACUACAAAGGACCACCCCAGUGUUGGAGUGGAGGAGGUACAGUACAGACUAUCAGGUGCCCAGCUGAUAAGCUUUCUUCUCUGUUUUGGUAGGAUGGAGUUUUGGCCUUCCAUGGUGACAUCACCAGGUGGUACAUUAAUUAAUAGACCAAUACGAAAGAGUUCCGAACCUCUCUGCCAAUAACAGCUAGUUUUCAGUUUACCCCUUCCCUCCCCACCCAGACCAGACAGUCCUAGCAGAAUUCUUGUUUGAGAAAUUGAUCUUUGCUAAGAAGCUAUUUUCAUUUAUUUUUCACCAUUUUGAUUGAAAUCAGUCACAGUAAGGUACUUAAUUGUUACUCAGAAAUGAUUUAAUAUUGAGAUAAAAUGGCUGCAUUGGAACAACAGAGAACAUUGUUGAAUUGAAUUACAGUAUUGAAUCAAAGUUUCUCACCUCUUAUCAACUAUUCCUUUGUGCAUCGCCUACCCUCUCACUAUUGUUCUAUCCAUAUGUCCUUGCCUUUCUCUAUCGGUCUAUCAUUGUUCUGACCUACUGUAUACCUCCUUAUAUGUCUCUCCUCCUCUCUCCUUGAUGCAGGUUUUUGAUAUCCUACCUAUAUAUGGGGUGCUGCAGCCAGGUGAAAGCCAGCUGGUGUCCUUCUCCUUUUACGGUCAUGCUGACAUCAGUGGUCAGGUUCUGGCUCUGUGUGAGGUCGAGGAGGGCCCCACAUAUGAAAUCACACUCAAAGGAGAGGCUUCACUAGUCACCUACAGCCUGAACAGAACAGAGAUAGACUUUGGCCUUCAGGUAUUUGUACUAUGGUCACCCUGAGGCUGUGUUAGUUGAGUCCAGUUCACUUGUGAAGGAUAGAGAUAUCUGUGUUGGCUUUCUUUGCUUGUGUUUUUCAUUCGUCCCUGUUUGGGUAUGCAAUGAAUGCAUUCAAGGCAAUUGUCAUUGAUAUUCAAACAAGGACUUAUUGAUUUUUUUAUUUUUAAAGGAGUGAAUCAGCAGAAUCUUAUCCUUGCGGGUUCAGCAUACAUUGUUUGGAUCCAUUCCCGCUCUUCUUCUUCUUCCCUUCUUUCUCCUGCAGUUAUUUGACCAUGUGGCCGAGGCAGAGAUCACCCUGAGGAACACAGGGAAGGUGGGCUUUCAGUUCAGUGCUCUGUUGGGGGAGAAGGAUGUGUGUGAGGACCCUCGGCCUGGACAUCCCCUGGUCAUCCCCAGAAUGGUGAGACAGCCCACAGCACAGGGGAUCCCUCCCUUUUACAGUCUGCUUUCUCUACCAAUCCUUUAGUGUAACUACAUACACCCUUUAUGUAGUUACUUUCAAUGGAUUUUGGCAGAGCCAGAUGAACUUGUGGAUACCAUUUUUAUGUAUUUUAUGUAACUCUUUGUUUGUCUCUCAUUACUCAAAGGGUUACAUCGAGGCGAAUGCAGAGCAGAAGCUUUCAGUGUACUAUCUCCCUGGGGUCCCUGAGGUCUUCCACAAGACUUUCCAGCUGCAGGUGGCUUUCUUUGAGCCAGAGAGCCUCACUCUCAGAGGAGAGGGCAUCUUCCCCAGGGUGUGCCUGGACCUACCCAGAGAGCUCAGUAUGUGACUUUGGUCAUUGUGGAGGUCUAUCGCGAUACUCUAAAACUGUUUUGUUGCAGUGUGUAACUCGCUAUUCUUGUAUUGUGUAGAUGAUGAGAGGUAUACUGCAGUGGUGAAGGAGGCCAAGGAGGCUCUGGAGGAGGACAGGAGGGAUGUGGCCAUCAGCCGGCCUGCUACUGGAAAUGGCAACCUGUCAGACAAGGACUACAUCCCUACAGUCAGUACCUACUGUAUCACAAUCACUCAGCACUUUCACCUUGAUUCAUGUACAGUGCAUUUGGAAAGUAUUCAGACCCUUGACUUUUUCCACAUUUUGUUACAUUACAGCCUUAUUCUAAAAUGUAUUGAAAUGUAGAUCUCAACAUUAUCAUUGUCUUCAUAAGACGAAACAAAGCUAAUGUGUUCAGUUUGUAUGGCAGACAUGAUACCUGUGCUGUGUGGACAGAUGUGUGUGAAAAUUGAUUUCUGUCUCUCUGUGUGCAGUAUGAUGCCCUGCUGCAGAUGGAGGUAGAGAGGCUCUUGGUGAAACAGAAUGCCAUGGCUGUUGAGAACAGACAAGUGGAUAAUAGAGACACACCUGCGUCUACUAGCAAGUGGCGCAAGAAGCUUAGCAGGUAGGCUCACAUGCAAAUGCACCAUCUCUCCUCCAUGGCUAUGCAUACUGUAUAUGUGAAUCAUUACUGAAAGUGGGAUC